rnacentral:tRNA from 1 species
AACUUUUAAAGGAUAAUAGCUAAUCCACUG